CCCGGGGCCGGAGUCUGAGCUCAGCUGCGGGGUGUAUCUGCCGCUGUUGCCGAGCAGGUGGCCCGGUGGGCAGAAGCGGCAAAGGCGUCAUGGGAGGCGACGGCACUGAGCACCGGCUCAUACCUGGAAGGAAUUUGCCUCAAGGAAAAUCCUGCCUUCAGUGCCACCAUACCUGAUCUAAAUGAUACUUGAAGCUUUGGACUUGUGAUUUGAUGCUGGAACAAGGGCCUAGCAGUGGGCGGGGAUGCGGUGUCCAGGUCAGGCCGGCGGGUGGACAGGUGCACGGCGGCCGGUGUUCUCUCAGAUGUCCGGAAGCACAGCCGUGGCUCCCCGUGAGCCGGGAGACGUUGCCACUGGCUACAGGCUGGUCAGAAACGCCCCGGAACCAUCGUGGAAGCCUAAAUAACUCCUCUGAGAAAGACUUCCCUGGCCGGCCCCGUGAGCAUCCUGUUGUUUAGCUGCAAACACAGCUGAACUGAGAAACGUGCUUCUCCAGAACGGGGACGGACGCGCAGGCGGCUUCCCUUCCCGGGGCUGCCGCAGAGACGACGCCCGCUGUUUUCAAACAGCGCCCUUUCAAAGCCGCUGCUUCUGACGGUGACGGCGAGUUCUGAGGGGACAAAGGACGGGGGCUGCCUUCCGACCUGGCCCAGCCCCAGCCCCAGGGACCACCCGGCCCGCCACGGACCGCUGCGGGCCUGGGACCUCACCCUUCCUUUGUCCACGCCCGUGUCCUCGCGAGUGCCCUGCUGGACGGCAGUGGGGCAGUGGAAUUUGGCCUCCCUCGGAGGAGACGCCUCCCGCAGACCCGAGGAGGCCGCGCUGGGUGCUGAUGCUUCGGGUCUGCCUUCCCGGGCCCGUGGCCGCAGCUGGCGAGCACUGGGACACUUCCGCUGUCUCUUUGACAAACGUCAGACCCCCAGGAAAGAGCUGAUUUCCAAGUCAACUUAUUUUAAGAUCUUUAAAUCAGCCAACACUUCAUUCUCAAGCAGUGCGUACACAGGUUGCGGGAAUCAGAGUCACCCCGCGUGCCUGUGGACCCGGCCUGCCACAUACGUGUGGAUGGGGCCUCUCUGCUGCGGGCCGCACGCCUGGGCUCUCCGGCCCCGGCGCCCGUGUGGGCGGCACCUGCGGCUUCGGCGUUCACGCCAGUGCCACGGCGCCGACUCCUGUAAGGAUGACGCCAGCCAGCGUCUGUCUUCACAAACGAACGUUCCCUGAGCCGCGCCUGGGUGCGGGUGAAAGUGCGUGGACUGUGUCUGGACACACACAGGCGGGUUGGGGCCUCCCGUCCAGCCGGGCCUGUGACUUGCCAGAUGGGAGCCGGGGGACCCCGACACAGACCCUGUGACAGAGGCCGUGGCCCUGAGAGGGGUGCUCCAGGACGAACCCCAGAGGUUGGGGGUUGUCGGGGAAAGGUGGCAAGCCUUCGGCACCAGGAUGAGCAGAAGGAAUCGUUGCCGGAGCCGGCAUUAAAGGCUUAUGACCCUGUGUAAAUAUGCUGGGUGUUAAAGUGAUAUUUCUUUAAAAUGUCAAAUUUGAGUAACUGAUUUAUAAAUUAAUAGGCAAGAUACUUCUUGCCACUUUUUUGUUACAUUGUCUUUGAAUCUGUCACAGAUAAGGCGGCUGUGACAUGUUAUCAUUAGUGUUUAUCC